AACUAAAACUGCAUUUUCCCUGAUAAGCGCAGGCUUCCUCAGAUGAAAGCGUAGGCUGGGGUCCUGACAAGUCAUUCUUUUUUUAACUGGUCCGGGCACAUCGUUUUUAUUGAAGGUUUUCUGCACGUAAAGCGCAAGAUGGAGCGUGGACAAGUUUUUUGUUGUUUUAAUCGUCCAAGGCAUGGAGUUUUACUGAAGGUUUCCUCAGACGAGAGCGUAAGCUGGGGUCCGGACAAGCUGUUAUUUUUUUUUUUUAAACGGCCCGGGCACGUUGUUUUAUUGAAGGUUUUCUGCACGUAAAGCGCAAGAUGGAGCAUGGACAAGUUUUUUUGUUUUUUUAAUCGUCCAAGGCAUGGAGUUUUACUGAAGGUUUCUUCAGAUGAAAGCGUAGACUGGGGUCCGAACAAGGUGUUCUUCUUUUAACUGGCCCAGGCACAUUGUUUUAUUGAAGGUUUUCUGCACGUAAAGCGCAAGAUGGAGCGUAGACAAGU